rnacentral:rRNA from 2 species
CCUACGGGAGGCAGCAGUCGGGAAUAUUGCGCAAUGGAGGAAACUCUGACGCAGUGACGCCGCGUGCAGGAAGAAGGUUUUCGGAUUGUAAACUGCUUUAGACAGGGAAGAAACAAGACAGUACCUGUAGAAUAAGCUCCGGCUAACUACGUGCCAGCAGCCGCGGUAAU